rnacentral:rRNA from 1 species
GUGGGGAAUAUUGGGCAAUGGGCGCAAGCCUGACCCAGCAACGCCGCGUGAAGGAAGAAGGCUUUCGGGUUGUAAACUUCUUUUACCAGGGACGAAAAAAAUGACGGUACCUGGAGAAUAAGCCACGGCUAACUACGUGCCAGCAGCCGCGGUAAUACGUAGGUGGCAAGCGUUGUCCGGAUUUACUGGGUGUAAAGGGCGCGUAGGCGGGAGAGCAAGUCAGGAGUGAAAUCUAUGGGCUUAACCCAUAAAUUGCUUUUGAAACUGUUUUUCUUGAGUGAUGGAGAGGCAAGCGGAAUUCCUAGUGUUGCGGUGAAAUGCGUAGAUAUUAGGAGGAACACCAGUGGCGAAGGCGGCUUGCUGGACAUUAACUGACGCUGAUGCGCGAAAGCGUGGGGAGCAAACAGGAUUAGAUACCCGAGUAGUCC